CCGACGUGUUGAAGCACGGGUCGUCGUAGAAGUCAUCGGCGGCUGUGAAGGAGCAGAGGGAGCCCUCCGUCAUCUCCAUGGGGCCAACCCGCCCUGCCGCCGCGCCAGGGAGAGCAGCCGCCCCGAUGCCCGAAGGUGCCGGGUGCCGCUCGCCCGGGGGGACGCACCGAACACACCGGUGACGGCUCCGCUGGUUCCUCACAGGGAAAAAGCCCCCAACCCCUGGGCAGCUCUGCUCGCCUUCGCUCGGAAGCCUUGGGAGAGAUGGAUCUCAGGCCGUGCCGUGGCGUUGCAGUUGGGACGGCUCGCGAGAUAAGGAUUAUAUUAUAGCAGCGGGAGAGUUUGGAGCUUGGGGAAAUGGCAUCCCGUUUUGUUAUAAAUGUUGGCGAAAUUUCAGCUCAUUCAAAAUCAGCAGCAAAGCUCUGUUUUCAGUGGGACAAGGGGCUGACUGACAGAAUCGCAAAAGGAUGUGAUUGAAAAGGAAGCCGGGAAGGCAGAAGUAGAUUGUACUUCCUACAUUGAAAAACACGGAUAGAUUCAUCCUGUACACAACUGACAGAGGCUGGGGAAACAGCUGAUUUUGAGUUUAUCUGGAAUUAACAGAAUUGUCUUUAGAGGCAAAGGCCCAGAACGUGUUCUGGCAAAGGAAAAGGGAGAGAAAAAGACUUAAAUCCUCAGAGUAUGUGGAUAUAUUUGGUUAGAAGAUGAGAACAUGAGAAGUCUGAGAAACAGACAUGGCACUACUUCAUGGAAAAAUAAGAGGCAACUUAACUGCUAUGAUGGACCAAAGAAGAGCGUUCUGUAUUAACGAAUUUGGUAAAGGAGAAUCAGCCUCUUGGUCUUAAAUAAGAGCUUGAUGCAGGAAGAACUUAGAAAUAUUUGGUAGAGCCACAUGUGACUGAUCAAAAUAUUCACCCUAAGCACACAAAACAAGACUGUUAAGAUUUGCCAGAUAUGGGACUCACCUGCAGCAGAAUGUGGCUUAACAGAACUUGGGAGACCCUUCCAAUGGAAGAUGUUUUGUUCACAAAGCACGAUCACUUUGGAGACCUUUAUGCAAUUUCUGCAAUAAAUGAACACAGCCAAGAUUGUAUUUUAUAAGCAGUUCCUCGGUGCAAGUAUGCAGCACAACUUCAAGUGGAGUUCAAGUUAACACAUCUGCUUAACUGUUAAGGCUUAACAUGUUUUACUGCAUACUUAAAUUUUCAUUGAACUUAUACGUGAUACCAAACUCAAAUGAAAGAUCUUGGGAAUAUACUGAAUAUAUUUUGUGUUGCUUCCCUGUGGAUGCUUGCCAUCAGAAGCUCUUUCCCACUGCUGCACAGCCACAGUGCUCAGGCAGACUCAUCCUCUCCCUUUCCUCUACUCUCCCUUCUCUGGACCCUGAGGAAAUCUCUGUGCUAACAGGAGGUUUGGGAUCUGUGUGUAGGUCUGCAGUCAAGCCUGGAAGAUAAUGGGAUUGCCCUUGUUGCUGUCACUGCGGACUCAUGAUCUGGACCCCAGGACUUGAGCAGGACUGAAGGACAUAUGGUAAGAUUGUGUUACCUGUGCACAGGAGGAUGGUGAAAUCUGGGAUAUUAGCUUGUGACUUUCAGCUGUCUGGUCUGAAGCAAAGGAGAGCAAGUGGUAAGAAGCUGGAUCAUCUUUCUUCAUCUGCUCACUGCCUUCACAGAAUUUGCAAGUGUGACGAACUAUUUCAUCCCUUUACAGGAUUAGGGAUGCGGAUUUGCUUCUCACCGAGGUGCUGCUGGCUGGUUCACUGCCUGCUGGAGGGUGUCUCUAAGACCUGAUUUAACCUGAAGCAUGCACUUCCUCAGGAGGUCUGCAGCAGGGCUGGAGGACUGCAAACACUGCAUCACUACCCUCCUGUCCCCUGCUGCCACACGACUGCUGUGCCUGUGCUGUGCUCUCAGCUGCCUCACCCUGAAAUGUUCCUCAUGAUGGUUUGUAUGGAGCUACCAUGGAGCAGGCUUUGCUUUUGGUGGCAGUAUCCCUUACCAUGUCAUUCAUAAAGAAGAUGGCUUUAUCCUCACCUUUAUUCCACUGGGACCAUCUGCUCUACACACAGGCUCCAAAAGUGGAAAAUCUUCUGUGACCUUUUUUAAUUUUCAGUUGAAGCUCUACAUCACAUGAACUUCUUGGGGUUUUUUGAGAGGUAAAGACUUUUUUUUUUUUUUACAACACCAAAUAAAAAACCAAACACCACAGCCCAAGGAACCCAAAACUGAUAGGAAAAAAACCUGAAACCCACACAUUGAACGCAAGCUGGAGAAAUAACUGCAUUGUGUGACUGAUACAGUCCAUGGGAGUACAAAGCAUUCCAGUCUGAUUUUGCACAUCCACUCCCUAUACCUAUUAAUAACUUUUAGGCAUGGGCAUAGACAUGAAGAUGGGCAAGAGUAGUUUGCCAUGCAAACAUUUAUCUGGGAGCUGUACUAUUUUCUAGAGCUAAAGAUUUCAGUGUGAUAAAGUGGACAUUUUAAAGCAUUGGUGGAGAUAGGGGGGAUGUAACUGCCCUUAAACUGAGGUUGGAUUAGGUGUUCUCACAUCUUGGAGUCUGCCAGUAAAUAGCAAAGUAUAUGAGCAAUGGAAAUAUGUCCUUCUUAAUCUGUAAAAAGAAAAGGACUGUUUUGAAAAUCCAUCAAUCUUUCAAAUCGUCUUAAGGCAUAUUGAUCCUGAAUAAGCACAGGGGAAUUCGUCAGGGGUGUUCUUUUUAGUGAUCUAAAAGUAUAACUGUGGUUGAAUACAUCAAAAACUGUAUCUUAUUCCAGUUGUCUUUAUUACUGCAAUAAAUGAUACCAACUCUUUCUUCCUGCA